CUCGGCCUAGUUUUGUAAAAACAUGGCGGCAGUGUAUACAUGUGUAUGUGUAUGGAUGUAACUUGUGUUUACCGCGUUGUAUACGAUAAAAUUGUCUGGCUACAAACUGUAAUAUUAAAAAUUUCAACAUGUCAACUUGUGUUCCACACUGUAAAAAUUAUUAUCAGAAAGGCUUUUCACUCUACUCGCUUCCUGCAGAUCUUAUUAGAAGAGCAUUGUGGAUUACCAAUAUUGGGAGACAGGAAUGGAAUUUCUCGAAAAAAUGGUUUAUAUGCGAGGCUGAUACAAGAAAUGUUACAAAUGAAGUCAGCUUUGAAGAUAGUUUCAGAUAAUAAUGAUGAUAAUGGAACUAACCCAAAUCCUUCUAUGGCAAGACAAAACUCAUGUGAAGACAACUUUGAAGUAUAUGUUAUAGAAGCAGAAAAACAAUCUGCAAUAGGAGAAAUAUCAAAACCACAUGCAAUACAUUACGAAAAUGAUUAUGAUACUUUGAAAUGAAGACUUCAAGAUGGUGAAUUGAGAGCACAAGAAGCUACAUUGAAAUUACAGCAAGCAAACGUAAUUAUUAACAGAGUAGAAAGAUCAAGAAGAAUAUUAAAAAAACACAUAAGAAGAUUGACAGAUGAAAAGAAAAAAGCGCACAAGACAAUUUAAAGUCACAACUACCAUUAAAUGUGAGAAGAAUAUUCAACGACGAUCAAAUUCAAAUAUUUCUUGGUCAGAAUCCACGUGGUUUUAAAUGGUCCAACAAUACAAUUCUUAAGGCAUUACAACUGAAAUUUUCAUGUGGCAGCAAUGGAUACAACCAAUUGUUAACUCAAAAUUUGCCUUUACCAUCACAACGCACUUUACGAAGAAAAAAGAAGGCAUUGACUUUGAGCCAGGGAUAUUAGAAGACGUUUUUGAUAUUUUAAAGAAACAAAUAUUUCUGUUUAAAGAUGACCGAGAAAAAGAUGCUGCGAUUGCUAUUGAUGAAAUGAGUAUUGACAAGUACAGAAAGCAAUGCAUGUUUCAGUGAUUAUGAUUGCUGGUAUUUUUUCACGGUGGAAACAGGUUGUAGUCUAUUACUAUACACCCCAUGGAUUUAACGGUGCUACUUUAAAAGCUAUAAUUGAAACAAUAAUUAGAAAAGCAGAAUCUAUGGGUCUAUACAGGGUGUUUGAUAGCUGAUCAUGCAGACGAAAGUUGGAGAUAGAUUGGGUGU
rnacentral:misc_RNA from 1 species